AGAACGAACGCUGGCGGCAGGCUUAACACAUGCAAGUCGAGCGCCCCGCGAGGGGAGCGGCAGACGGGUGAGUAACGCGUGGGGAUGUACCCAGAGGUGCGGAAUAACUCAGGGAAACUUGAGCUAAUACCGCAUGAGCCCGAGAGGGGAAAGAUUUAUCGCCUUUGGAUCAACCCGCGUCAGAUUAGCUAGUUGGUAGGGUAAUGGCCUACCAAGGCGACGAUCUGUAGCUGGUCUGAGAGGAUGAUCAGCCACACUGGGACUGAGACACGGCCCAGACUCCUACGGGAGGCAGCAGUGGGGAAUAUUGGACAAUGGGCGCAAGCCUGAUCCAGCCAUGCCGCGUGAGUGAUGACGGCCUUAGGGUUGUAAAGCUCUUUCGCACGCGACGAUAAUGACGGUAGCGUGAGAAGAAGCCCCGGCUAACUUCGUGCCAGCAGCCGC
rnacentral:rRNA from 1 species